AUUGAACGCUGGCGGCAGGCCUAACACAUGCAAGUCGAGCGGAUGAGUGGAGCUUGCUCCAUGAUUCAGCGGCGGACGGGUGAGUAAUGCCUAGGAAUCUGCCUGGUAGUGGGGGACAACGUUUCGAAAGGAACGCUAAUACCGCAUACGUCCUACGGGGGAAAGCAGGGGACCUUCGGGCCUUGCGCUAUCAGAUGAGCCUAGGUCGGAUUAGCUAGUUGGUGAGGUAAAGGCUCACCAAGGCGACGAUCCGUAACUGGUCUGAGAGGAUGAUCAGUCACACUGGAACUGAGACACGGUCCAGACUCCUACGGGAGGCAGCAGUGGGGAAUAUUGGACAAUGGGCGAAAGCCUGAUCCAGCCAUGCCGCGUGUGUGAAGAAGGUCUUCGGAUUGUAAAGCACUUUAAGUUGGGAAGAAGGGCAGUAAGUUAAUACCUUGCUGUUUUGACGUUACCGACAGAAUAAGCACCGGCUAACUCUGUGCCAGCAGCCGCCGCCGUAA
rnacentral:rRNA from 1 species